rnacentral:rRNA from 1 species
UACGAAGGGAGCUAGCGUUGUUCGGAAUCACUGGGCGUAAAGCGCACGUAGGCGGCUGUGUCAGUCAGGGGUGAAAUCCCGGAGCUCAACUUCGGAACUGCCUUUGAUACAGCACGUCUUGAGUCCGAUAGAGGUGGGUGGAAUUCCUAGUGUAGAGGUGAAAUUCGUAGAUAUUAGGAAGAACACCGGUGGCGAAGGCGGCCCACUGGAUCGGUACUGACGCUGAGGUGCGAAAGCGUGGGGAGCAAACAGG